AUGCUCGAUCACUCUAGCCGGACACACUUACCUGGGUUAUGCCUGGCCUCGGAAGAUCAACACCUCGUAGCCCUACCUAGGCUCAACAGAGAGGCCAGCACGUCGGUCUACAUCCUAAGCAUGCAGGGGUCUUGGGCCCAUCGCCCUUUGCACUCCUUCAUGUUGCAAGGGCGGCUGGUGUCAGUCUUGGCAACCUCGUUAUACAAGGCAGGUGCUUACGCGGGCUACCUGGGUGCACGCUGCUCAGUCGCUGAUGUUUGGAGAGCUUCGGCUGAUACAUACGACGCCGAGUGCCCAUAA
rnacentral:rRNA from 1 species